GACGAACGCUGGCGGCGUGCUUAACACAUGCAAGUCGAACGAGUGGCGAACGGGUGAGUAAUACGUGAGUAACCUGCCCUCUUUUUGGGAUAAGCCUUGGAAACGGGGUCUAAUACCGAAUAGAGGGGGAUGGGCUCGCGGCCUAUCAGCUUGUUGGUGGGUUGAUGCCCUACCAAGGCGGUGACGGGUAGCCGGCCUGGGAGGGUGACCCGGGAACUUGGAACUGGUAUAGGCUCCCAACGCAUACAGGAGGCGGCAGUUGGGGAUAUUGGACGAAGGGCUGAAGCCUGAAGGAGGGAUGCCGCGUGAGGGAUGAAGGCUUGCAAGUUGUAAACCUCUUUGGCUAUCGAGCCGGUAGGUGGAGAAGAAGCGCCGGCUAACUACGUGCCAGCCGCCGCGGUAAUUC
rnacentral:rRNA from 1 species